UACGAAGGGGGCUAGCGUUGUCCGGAUUUAUUGGGCGUAAAGAGCGUGUAGGCGGCCAUGCAGGUCCGUUGUGAAAACUCGAGGCUCAACCUCGAGACGCCGAUGGAAACCAUCUAGCUAGAGUCCGGAAGAGGAGAGUGGAAUUCCUGGUGUAGCGGUGAAAUGCGCAGAUAUCAGGAAGAACACCCGUGGCUAAGGCGGCUCUCUAGUACGGUACUGACGCUGAGACGCGAAAGCGUGGGGAGCGAACAGG
rnacentral:rRNA from 1 species